rnacentral:rRNA from 1 species
UACGUAGGGUGCGAGCGUUAAUCGGAAUUACUGGGCGUAAAGCGUGCGCAGGCGGUUCGUUAAGUCAGCUGUGAAAGCCCCGGGCUUAACCUGGGAAUUGCGGUUGAAACUGGCGAACUAGAAUCUGGCAGAGGGGGGUGGAAUUCCACGUGUAGCAGUGAAAUGCGUAGAUAUGCGGAGGAACACCGAUGGCGAAGGCAAUCCCCUGGGCCUGCACUGACGCUCAUGCACGAAAGCGUGGGGAGCAAACAGG